ACUACCUACGGGGGGCAGCAGUGAGGAAUAUUGGUCAAUGGGAGAGAUCCUGAACCAGCCAAGCCGCGUGAGGGAAGACUGCCCUAUGGGUUGUAAACCUCUUUUGUCAGGGAGCAACGCCGGCUACGUGUAGCCGGACUGAGAGUACCUGAAGAAAAAGCAUCGGCUAACUCCGUGCCAGCAGCCGCGGUAAUACGGAGGAUGCGAGCGUUAUCCGGAUUUAUUGGGUUUAAAGGGUGCGCAGGCGGUCUGUUAAGUCAGCGGUCAAA
rnacentral:rRNA from 1 species